GAUGAACGCUCGCGGCGUGCUUAACACAUGCAAGUCGAACGGAAAGGCCGAAGCUUGCUUCGGUACUCGAGUGGCGAACGGGUGAGUAACACGUGGGUGAUCUGCCCUGUACUUCGGGAUAAGCUUGGGAAACUGGGUCUAAUACCGGAUAUGACGAUCUCUUGGAUGGGGUUGUGGAAAGCUUUUGCGGUAUGGGAUGAGCUCGCGGCCUAUCAGCUUGUUGGUGGGGUAAUGGCCUACCAAGGCGUCGACGGGUAGCCGGCCUGAGAGGGUGUACGGCCACAUUGGGACUGAGAUACGGCCCAGACUCCUACGGGAGGCAGCAGUGGGGAAUAUUGCACAAUGGGCGCAAGCCUGAUGCAGCGACGCCGCGUGGGGGAUGACGGCCUUCGGGUUGUAAACUCCUUUCGCAAUCGACGAAGCCUUUUGGUGACGGUAGGUUGAGAAGAAGCACCGGCUAACUACGUG
rnacentral:rRNA from 1 species